rnacentral:rRNA from 1 species
UGUGUAUCAGUACAUGGCAUAUCAAUAAGCGGAGGAAAAGAAACUAACAAGGAUUCCCUUAGUAACGGCGAAUGAAGCGGGAAGAGCUCAAAUUUGAAAUCUUCAAGGUUCUACCUUGACGAAUUGUAGUUUAUAGAAGUGUUUUCUGUUAGUAGAGUGGUAAAAGUUCUUUGGAAUAGGACAUCAUAGAGGGUGAGAAUCCCGUAUUUGACCAUUAUUUCCAACUUUGUGAUACACUUUCAAAGAGUCGGAUUGUUUGGGAAUGCAGUCCAAAAUGGGUGGUAAAUUUCAUCUAAAGCUAAAUACUGGCGAGAGACCGAUAGCGAACAAGUACCGUGAGGGAAAGAUGAAAAGAACUUUGAAAAGAGAGUUAAACAGUACGUGAAAUUGUCAAAAGGGAAGCGUUUGACACCAGUGCUGUUUUCUCGAAAAUCAAUUAAAAAUGGUGGGAUGUUGUGUUGUAUUGACUUUAUCAGCUUUCUGCACUUUUUUCCUGUCUUUUUUAAUGCACUUUUCGUUUAACAAGUCAACAUCAAUUUCUUUUGUUGUAAAAGAGUCAUUGGAAGGUGGCUUUCCUUUCGGAGAAAGUGUUUAUAGCCUUUGAUCUCUGCAACCGGAGAGACUGAGGUCUGCAGCGUAGACUCUUCGGGGUUAGAUACAUUUGUGCUAAGCUAUAGCUUUUUAUAGACAACUUGUUGACUAUAUUUAGUCUUGUGGCUUACUCGCUUAUGCUAUUUUACCUACGCUUAGGAUGUUGACAGCAGUAUAGACUGU